ACCUGGGUGGUUCAGUCGGUUGAGCAUCUGACUUCGGCUCAGGUCAUAAUCUUGCAGUACAUGGGUUCGAGCCCCGUGUCAGGCU
rnacentral:tRNA from 1 species